rnacentral:rRNA from 1 species
GACGAACGCUGGCGGCGUGCCUAAUACAUGCAUCGACGUUCAGUGGCGGACGGGUGAGUAACACGUGGGUAACUACCCCUCAGAGGGGGAUAACUACUGGUAACGGUAGCUAAUACCGCAUACUAUCGGAUAACCCAUAGGGGAUUAGCUAGUAGGUGAGGUAAUGGCUCACCUAGGCGACGACCCCUAGAUGGUCUGAAAGGAUGAGCAGCCACACUGGGACUAGGAAACGGCCCAGAUUCCUACGGAGGCAGCAGUGGGGAAUAUUGCACAAUGGGCGCAAGCCUGAUGCAGCCAUGCCGCGUGUAUGAAGAAGGCCCUAGGGUUGUAAAGUACUUGCAGUCGGGAGGCGUUACCGACAGAAGAAGCACCGGCUAACUCCGUGCCAGCAGCCGUGGUAAUAC